UUCUGAUUUACAGAAAUGCAGGGUGAUGAAGCCAGCCUCUUGCUAAGCUUCUCCUCUAAUUGUCACCCUACUCAGAUUAAAGCUGAUUGGAAACAGGAUGAG